GUUCCGUCGAGGACAUACGACAAAAUUGGAACGAUAUAGAUAAGAUUAGCAUGGCCCCUGCGCAAGGAUGACACGUAAAAUUUGAGGAAUUAUCCAAAUUUUU
rnacentral:snRNA from 1 species